rnacentral:rRNA from 1 species
UACGUAGGGUGCGAGCGUUGUCCGGAAUUAUUGGGCGUAAAGAGCUCGUAGGUGGCGGGUCACGUCGGGUGUGAAAGCCCGGGGCUUAACUCCGGGUCUGCAUUCGAUACGGGUCUGCUGGGGUCCGGCAGGGGAGACUGGAAUUCCUGGUGUAGCGGUGAAAUGCGUAGAUAUCGUAAGGAAGACCAGUGGCGAAGGCGGGUCUCUGGACAGUUCCUGACACUGAGGCACGAAGGCUAGGGGAGCAAACGGG